rnacentral:lncRNA from 1 species
AACCUUUAAACCAGCUUUCAUUUCCAGAAUAAGCUAGGAAAAUCCUUUUGGAUUUCAGAAUAAAGAGACUAACUCAUAACUAGACCGAUGGUUCACUCACAACACCAGAAUUUUUGAAGUUCUUUCUUCUUACAUUCAAUAUUAUUUCAGAUUUCCUCCUAAAACUCUAGCCAUUUCAGUUUUAGUCAGUUUUAGUCUUUUUU